rnacentral:tRNA from 1 species
GGGUUGUGGUUCAGUGGUAGAGCACUUGCCUAGCAUGUGUGAGACACUGGGUUUAAUCCCCAGCCCCA